rnacentral:rRNA from 1 species
UACUCCUAACGGAGGCAGCAGUGGGGAAUAUUGCACAAUGGGCGCAAGCCUGAUGCAGCGACGCCGCGUGAGGGAUGACGGCCUUCGGGUUGUAAACCUCUUUCAGUAGGGAAGAAGCGUAAGUGACGGUACCUGCAGAAGAAGCGCCGGCUAACUACGUGCCAGCAGCCGCGGUAAUACGUAGGGCGCAAGCGUUAUCCGGAAUUAUUGGGCGUAAAGAGCUCGUAGGCGGUUUGUCGCGUCUGCCGUGAAAGUCCGGGGCUCAACUCCGGAUCUGCGGUGGGUACGGGCAGACUAGAGUGAUGUAGGGGAGACUGGAAUUCCUGGUGUAGCGGUGAAAUGCGCAGAUAUCAGGAGGAACACCGAUGGCGAAGGCAGGUCUCUGGGCAUUAACUGACGCUGAGGAGCGAAAGCAUGGGGAGCGAACAGGAUUAGAUACCCUGGUAGUCCAUGCCGUAAACGUUGGGCACUAGGUGUGGGGGACAUUCCACGUUUUCCGCGCCGUAGCUAACGCAUUAAGUGCCCCGCCUGGGGAGUACGGCCGCAAGGCUAAAACUCAAAGGAAUUGACGGGGGCCCGCACAAGCGGCGGAGCAUGCGGAUUAAUUCGAUGCAACGCGAAGAACCUUACCAAGGCUUGACAUGAACCGGACCGCCGCAGAAAUGUGGUUUCCCCCUC